GCACAUCAUGCAUAGCUCAGUUGGUAGAGCAUUAGACUCUUAGUCUUGGGGUUGUGAGUUCAAGCCCCAGGUUGGGCA